CGGAGUGGACGAACCUCUGGUGUUCGGGUUGUCAUGCCAAUGGCAUUGCCCGGUAGCUAAGUUCGGAAUCGAUAACCGCUGAAAGCAUCUAAGCGGGAAGCGAGCCUUGAGAUGAGUUUUCCCUGACACUUUAAGUGUCCUAAAGGGUUGUCGUAGACUACGACGUUGAUAGGCAGGGUGUGUAAGUGCUGCGAGGCAUUGAGCUAACCUGUACUAAUUGCCCGUGAGGCUUAACCAUACAACACCCAAGGGGUUU
rnacentral:rRNA from 1 species